UAACGAAUCUUGCGCAAUGGGCGAAAGCCUGACGCAGCGACGCCGCGUGUGGGAUGAAGUCUCUCGGGAUGUAAACCACUGUCAGGGAGAAGAAAGUGCGCUUCGGCGCAUUGAUCUAUCCCAGAGGAAGUCACGGCUAACUUCGUGCCAGCAGCCGCGGUAAGACGAAGGUGGCGAGCGUUGUUCGGUGUCACUGGGCUUAAAGGGUGUGUAGGCGGGAAAGUAUGCGUCUUGUGAAAUCCCCCGGCUUAACCGGGGAAUGGCUAGACGAACUGCUUUUCUUGAGGCAAGUAGGGGUGCAUGGAACUCUUGGUGGAGCGGUGGAAUGCGUAGAUAUCAAGAGGAACGCCAAUGGUGAAAACAGUGCACUGGGCUUGUCCUGACGCUGAAACACGAAAGCGUGGGGAGCAAACG
rnacentral:rRNA from 1 species